CGACCGGCGCACGGGUGAGUAACGCGUAUGCAACCUGCCUGAUACCGGGGUAUAGCCCAUGGAAACGUGGAUUAACACCCCAUAGUACUUUUAUCCUGCAUGGGAUGUGAGUUAAAUGUUCAAGGUAUCGGAUGGGCAUGCGUCCUAUUAGUUAGUUGGCGGGGUAACAGCCCACCAAGACGAUGAUAGGUAGGGGUUCUGAGAGGAAGGUCCCCCACAUUGGAACUGAGACACGGUCCAA
rnacentral:rRNA from 1 species